rnacentral:rRNA from 1 species
GGUUAAGCGACUAAGCGUACACGGUGGAUGCCCUGGCAGUCAGAGGCGAUGAAGGACGUGCUAAUCUGCGAUAAGCGUCGGUAAGGUGAUAUGAACCGUUAUAACCGGCGAUUUCCGAAUGGGGAAACCCAGUGUGAUUCGUCACACUAUCAUUAACUGAAUCCAUAGGUUAAUGAGGCGAACCGGGGAACUGAAACAUCUAAGUACCCCGAGGAAAAGAAAUCAACCGAGAUUCCCCCAGUAGCGGCGAGCGAACGGGGAGCAGCCCAGAGCCUGAAUCAGUGUGUGUGUUAGUGGAAGCGUCUGGAAAGGCGCGCGAUACAGGGUGACAGCCCCGUACACAAAAAUGCACAUGCUGUGAGCUCGAUGAGUAGGGCGGGACACGUGGUAUCCUGUCUGAAUAUGGGGGACCAUCCUCCAAGGCUAAAUACUCCUGACUGACCGAUAGUGAACCAGUACCGUGAGGGAAAGGCGAAAAGAACCCCGGCGAGGGGAGUGAAAAAGAACCUGAAACCGUGUACGUACAAGCAGUGGGAGCACGCUUAGGCGUGUGACUGCGUACCUUUUGUAUAAUGGGUCAGCGACUUAUAUUCUGUAGCAAGGUUAACCGAAUAGGGGAGCCGAAGGGAAACCGAGUCUUAACUGGGCGUUAAGUUGCAGGGUAUAGACCCGAAACCCGGUGAUCUAGCCAUGGGCAGGUUGAAGGUUGGGUAACACUAACUGGAGGACCGAACCGACUAAUGUUGAAAAAUUAGCGGAUGACUUGUGGCUGGGGGUGAAAGGCCAAUCAAACCGGGAGAUAGCUGGUUCUCCCCGAAAGCUAUUUAGGUAGCGCCUCGUGAACUCAUCUCCGGGGGUAGAGCACUGUUUCGGCAAGGGGGUCAUCCCGACUUACCAACCCGAUGCAAACUGCGAAUACCGGAGAAUGUUAUCACGGGAGACACACGGCGGGUGCUAACGUCCGUCGUGAAGAGGGAAACAACCCAGACCGCCAGCUAAGGUCCCAAAGUCAUGGUUAAGUGGGAAACGAUGUGGGAAGGCCCAGACAGCCAGGAUGUUGGCUUAGAAGCAGCCAUCAUUUAAAGAAAGCGUAAUAGCUCACUGGUCGAGUCGGCCUGCGCGGAAGAUGUAACGGGGCUAAACCAUGCACCGAAGCUGCGGCAGCGACGCUUAUGCGUUGUUGGGUAGGGGAGCGUUCUGUAAGCCUGUGAAGGUGUGCUGUGAGGCAUGCUGGAGGUAUCAGAAGUGCGAAUGCUGACAUAAGUAACGAUAAAGCGGGUGAAAAGCCCGCUCGCCGGAAGACCAAGGGUUCCUGUCCAACGUUAAUCGGGGCAGGGUGAGUCGACCCCUAAGGCGAGGCCGAAAGGCGUAGUCGAUGGGAAACAGGUUAAUAUUCCUGUACUUGGUGUUACUGCGAAGGGGGACGGAGAAGGCUAUGUUGGCCGGGCGACGGUUGUCCCGGUUUAAGCGUGUAGGCUGGUUUUCCAGGCAAAUCCGGAAAAUCAAGGCUGAGGCGUGAUGACGAGGCACUACGGUGCUGAAGCAACAAAUGCCCUGCUUCCAGGAAAAGCCUCUAAGCAUCAGGUAACAUCAAAUCGUACCCCAAACCGACACAGGUGGUCAGGUAGAGAAUACCAAGGCGCUUGAGAGAACUCGGGUGAAGGAACUAGGCAAAAUGGUGCCGUAACUUCGGGAGAAGGCACGCUGAUAUGUAGGUGAAGUCCCUCGCGGAUGGAGCUGAAAUCAGUCGAAGAUACCAGCUGGCUGCAACUGUUUAUUAAAAACACAGCACUGUGCAAACACGAAAGUGGACGUAUACGGUGUGACGCCUGCCCGGUGCCGGAAGGUUAAUUGAUGGGGUCAGCGCAAGCGAAGCUCUUGAUCGAAGCCCCGGUAAACGGCGGUACGUAACUAUAACGGUCCUAAGGUAGCGAAAUUCCUUGUCGGGUAAGUUCCGACCUGCACGAAUGGCGUAAUGAUGGCCAGGCUGUCUCCACCCGAGACUCAGUGAAAUUGAACUCGCUGUGAAGAUGCAGUGUACCCGCGGCAAGACGGAAAGACCCCGUGAACCUUUACUAUAGCUUGACACUGAACAUUGAGCCUUGAUGUGUAGGAUAGGUGGGAGGCUUAGAAGUGUGGACGCCAGUCUGCAUGGAGCCGACCUUGAAAUACCACCCUUUAAUGUUUGAUGUUCUAACGUUGACCCGUAAUCCGGGUUGCGGACAGUGUCUGGUGGGUAGUUUGACUGGGGCGGUCUCCUCCUAAAGAGUAACGGAGGAGCACGAAGGUUGGCUAAUCCUGGUCGGACAUCAGGAGGUUAGUGCAAUGGCAUAAGCCAGCUUGACUGCGAGCGUGACGGCGCGAGCAGGUGCGAAAGCAGGUCAUAGUGAUCCGGUGGUUCUGAAUGGAAGGGCCAUCGCUCAACGGAUAAAAGGUACUCCGGGGAUAACAGGCUGAUACCGCCCAAGAGUUCAUAUCGACGGCGGUGUUUGGCACCUCGAUGUCGGCUCAUCACAUCCUGGGGCUGAAGUAGGUCCCAAGGGUAUGGCUGUUCGCCAUUUAAAGUGGUACGCGAGCUGGGUUUAGAACGUCGUGAGACAGUUCGGUCCCUAUCUGCCGUGGGCGCUGGAGAACUGAGGGGGCUGCUCCUAGUACGAGAGGACCGGAGUGGACGCAUCACUGGUGUUCGGGUUGUCAUGCCAAUGGCACUGCCCGGUAGCUAAAUGCGGAAGAGAUAAGUGCUGAAAGCAUCUAAGCACGAAACUUGCCCCGAGAUGAGUUCUCCCUGACUCCUUGAGAGUCCUGAAGGAACGUUGAAGACGACGACGUUGAUAGGCCGGGUGUGUAAGCGCAGCGAUGCGUUGAGCUAACCGGUACUAAUGAACCGUGAGGCUUAACCUU